GACAGAGGUGCCAAGCGUUAGGCGGAAUCACUGGGCUUAAAGCGUGUGUAGGCGGAUGGCUAAGUGUCUUGUGAAAUCCCACGGCUCAACCGUGGAACUGCUCGACAUACUGGUCAUCUUGAGCAACCUAGGGGCGAGCGGAACAAACGGUGGAGCGGUGAAAUGCGUAGAUAUCGUUUGGAACGCCAAUGGUGAAAACAGCUCGCUGGGGGUUUGCUGACGCUGAGACACGAAAGCCAGGGGAGCAAACGGG
rnacentral:rRNA from 1 species